UCGACGAAGGCUUCGGCCUUAGUGGCGCACGGGUGCGUAACGCGUGGGAAUCUGCCCUCAGGUUCGGAAUAACAGCGAGAAAUUGCUGCUAAUACCGGAUGAUAUCGCGAGAUCAAAGAUUUAUCGCCUGAGGAUGAGCCCGCGUAGGAUUAGCUAGUUGGUGUGGUAAAGGCGCACCAAGGCGACGAUCCUUAGCUGGUCUGAGAGGAUGAUCAGCCACACUGGGACUGAGACACGGCCCAGACUCCUACGGGAGGCAGCAGUGGGGAAUAUUGGACAAUGGGCGAAAGCCUGAUCCAGCAAUGCCGCGUGAGUGAUGAAGGCCUUAGGGUUGUAAAGCUCUUUUACCCGGGAUGAUAAUGACAGUACCGGGAGAAUAAGCUCCGGCUAACUCCGUGCCAGCAGCCGCGGUAAUACGGAGGGAGCUAGCGUUAUUCGGAAUUACUGGGCGUAAAGCGCACGUAGGCGGCUUUGUAAGUUAGAGGUGAAAGCCUGGAGCUCAACUCCAGAAUUGCCUUUAAGACUGCAUCGCUUGAAUCCAGGAGAGGUGAGUGGAAUUCCGAGUGUAGAGGUGAAAUUCGUAGAUAUUCGGAAGAACACCAGUGGCGAAGGCGGCUCACUGGACUGGUAUUGACGCUGAGGUGCGAAAGCGUGGGGAGCAAAC
rnacentral:rRNA from 1 species